AUCGUUUUAAAUUGUCACUCGAGCGACAAAGUUGAACGGUGGGUAUGCAAAUUUAUAACUUUUCUUCACGAGUAUCUGGAGAUCAAAUAACUCGUUUAUAUUCUAAAAGAUCGCAAAAGAGGUAAUCGCGUAAGACGACGCGUACGUUAAAGUGCCAAGUUGACAUUUAAAUUUUGUUUCUAACAGAGUGUUACAAAAUUGCCAAUUUAGAUAACUCCUACCUUUAGAUAUCUCCCCUUGUGCAAUCAUUACGAACGUUCUGAUGCUCAAGUGUAGAGCUCCUAUCAUCGCUUUUGCGGCGAAUUAACGAAUUAAAGGAAAGUAAUCGCAAGGAUUUACGGUGCGAAUCGGUGAUACACGGGGUGUUCGCCCCUGGGGGCACUUCAUCGCUUCCUGUGCAUCAUUGAAGCUUACGCGCGGCGGAGAUGAGCCCAGAGAGCACUUUGCACGACGACGUGCACCCUUCCCGCCCGGUGUGCCCUAGAAUAUUCCGUCGCGCUUCAGCUUAAGUGAUGCUUCAACGCAACACAAUUACGAUCAUACAUCGGACUCGCGUUCUGGUUGCAGUAGUCCAAGUUAACGCAUUCAAUCCUCGAAGUCUUGAGUAAUUCUAGACGUGUCCUUGCAUAAAUUAUAAAUAUGUACCUUG